rnacentral:ncRNA from 1 species
UUCUUAUCGAGAUUGGUGGAGGGAAUGGCCCAACGAAACCAAAGCAACAGGCUGCAAGGUGCAGUACUGUGCUAAUUCCAGGUGUAUAACACUGCAGAUAAGAA